UUUGGUUAAGCUACUAAGGGCACACGGUGGAUGCCUUGGCACGAGAAGGCGAUGAAGGACGUGGUAAGCUGCGAUAAGCCUCGGAUAGGUGCAAACAACCUGAGACCCGGGGAUCUCCGAAUGGGGCAACCCGUUCCGGGUAAUGCCGGAACACUCCCCGCUGAAUCCAUAGGCGGGUGAGGGCCAACGAGGGGAACUGAAACAUCUCAGUACCCUCAGGAAAAGAAAGCAAACGCGAUUCCCUCAGUAGCGGCGAGCGAACGGGGAAGAGCCUAAACCUGUCCUAUGCCAAGCCUGCGUGCGUUGUAGGACAGGGGUUGCGGGACUCAGGAGGGUUCACGGCGCAGCGUGGCCGGGAAGUGACAAACUCAGCGGUUAGCCGAAGAGCCAUGGAAAGGGCUCACCAGAGAAGGUGAUAGUCCUGUAGGCGAAAACCAAUGAGCUUCCUGUCCUGAGCUCCCAAGUACUGCGGGGCACGUGGAACCCCGUGGGAAUCCGGCCCGACCACGGGCCAAGGCUAAAUACUCUCUCGUGACCGAUAGCGAACUAGUACCGUGAGGGAAAGGUGAAAAGUACCGGGGAACCGGAGUGAAAUAGGACCUGAAACCGUGUGCUUACAAGCAGUCGGAGUCCCGCUGCGGCGGGAUGACGGCGUGCCUUUUGCAUAAUGAGCUGGCGAGUUACUGUACGUUGCAAGGUUAACCCAUUCAGUGGGGUAGCCGUAGCGAAAGCGAGUCCGAAAUGGGCGCCACAGUAGCGUGCAGUAGACGCGAAGCCGGGCGAUCUAUCCAUGGCCAGGAUGAAGUCUCGGUAACACGAGAUGGAGGUCCGAACCAGUGUCGGUUGAAAACGGCUUGGAUGAGCUGUGGAUAGGAGUGAAAGGCUAAUCAAGCUCGGAGAUAGCUCGUUUUCCCCGAAAUAGCUUUAGGGCUAGCCUCGUAUUAGAGUACCGGAGGUAGAGCACUGAUUGGGCUAGGGCCCUCACAAGGGUACCAAACCCAGACAAACUCCGAAUGCCGGUACCUCGAUGUACGGGAGUCAGGCAGCGGGGGAUAAGCUUCGUUGCCGAGAGGGAAACAACCCAGACCGCCAGCUAAGGCCCCCAAGUGUAGGCUAAGUGGCAAAGGAUGUGGAAUUGCACAGACAACCAGGAUGUUGGCUUAGAAGCAGCCAUCAUUUAAAGAGUGCGUAAUUGCUCACUGGUCAAGUGAUUCCGCGCCGAUAAUUCACGGGACUCAAGCCUACCGCCGAAGCUACGGUCCCGCCACCACACGGUGGCGGGAGGUAGGGGAACGUUCCAGUUGCCUGCGAAGGUGCUUCGCGAGAAGCGCUGGAGGUCCUGGAAAUGAUUAUGCCAGCAUAAGUAGCGAGAAUUCCGGUGAGAAACCGGGACACCGUAAGUCUAAGGUUUCCUGAGUAAAGUUAAUCUGCUCAGGGUUAGUCGGACCCUAAGCCGAGGCCGAAAGGCGUAGGUGAUGGAAAACAGGUGAAUAUUCCUGUACCACCAGUGGGUCGACCAAGACACCAUGGGGUGACGCAGAAGUGAAAGGUCAGCCGGUCUCUGGAUUGCCGGUCUAAGUGCGUAGGAGGACCGGGUAGGCAAAUCCGCCUGGUCAUAACUCCGAGACACGAACGGGAGGGCUCUGCCCACAAACUGACCCUAAGCAUGCUGCCGAGAAAAACCUCUAGGUGAGACCCACAGGUGACCGUACCGCAAACCGACACAGGUAGACGGGGAGAGAAUCCUAAGGUGCUCGAGUGAGCCCUGGUUUAGGAACUAGGCAAUCUGACCCCGUAACUUCGGAAGAAGGGGUGCCUCAAGUAGGUGAAUCCAUCCCACUUCGGUGGGACUGGAGGAGCCCAACGAGGUCGCAGAGAAAUGGCCUGGGCGACUGUUUACUAAAAACACAGGUCUCUGCCAAGCCGUAAGGCGCCGUAUAGGGACUGACACCUGCCCGGUGCUGGAAGGUUAAGGGGACGUGUCACUCCGACUUGUCGGGGGAAGCACCGAACCGAAGCCCCAGUAAACGGCGGCCGUAACUAUAACGGUCCUAAGGUAGCGAAAUUCCUUGUCGGGUAAGUUCCGACCUGCACGAAUGGUGUAACGACUUGGGCGCUGUCUCAACCAGGGGCUCGGCGAAAUUGUAGUGCCGGUGAAGAUGCCGGCUACCCGCGGCGGGACGGAAAGACCCCGUGAACCUUUACUACAGCUUAGCAUUGGAUUUCGGUAUUGUAUGUGUAGGAUAGGUGGGAGGCUAUGAGCCCCGAACGCCAGUUCGGGGGGAGCCGCCGUUGAAAUACCACCCUUACUCUACUGGAAUUCUAACCCAGGGCCGUGAAGCCGGUCCGGGGACAAUGCUAGGUGGGUAGUUUGACUGGGGCGGUCGCCUCCUAAAGCGUAACGGAGGCUCCCAAAGGUUCCCUCAGCACGGUCGGUAAUCGUGCGUAGAGUGCAAAGGCAUAAGGGAGCUUGACUGCGAGACACACAGGUCGAGCAGAUGCGAAAGCAGGGCUUAGUGAUCCGGCGGUUGAACGUGGAAUUGCCGUCGCUCAAAGGAUAAAAGGUACUCCGGGGAUAACAGGCUUAUCGGGCCCAAGAGUUCACAUCGACGGCCCGGUUUGGCACCUCGAUGUCGGCUCAUCGCAUCCUGGGGCUGGACAAGGUCCCAAGGGUUAGGCUGUUCGCCUAUUAAAGCGGUACGUGAGCUGGGUUUAGAACGUCGUGAGACAGUUCGGUCCCUAUCUGUCGCGGGCGUAGGAUAUUUGCGGGAAGCUGCUCCUAGUACGAGAGGACCGGAGUGGACGAACCUCUAGUGUACCUGUUGUCACUCCAGUGGCAGCGCAGGGUAGCUACGUUCGGUCGGGAUAAGCGCUGAAAGCAUCUAAGUGCGAAACCCAUCCCAAGAUAAGAUAUCCCCUCCGCCGCAAGGCGGGCUGAAGGCCCCUCGUAGACUACGAGGUCGAUAGGUCACAGGUGUAAGUACGGCAACGUACUCAGCCGAGUGAUACUAAUAGGCCGUGCGGCUUAACCAAACAUC
rnacentral:rRNA from 1 species